rnacentral:ncRNA from 2 species
CCCGCCGAGGGGCGCUGCGACCGCAUGAAGUCACCUGCGGCCAGGCUCGGCGAGGUUCCACGCAACAACGGCGCCCGUUAAUG